UGGUUUUUGUGAAGUCAAUAGCUUUGACCCGUUACGUAGAGCCUUGAGGUAUUUAGUGUUGUUUAAUUCUUCUGGUCAGCAGAGUAUGUUUAAACUUAUGUUUGAAAUCUUUUUGUUUCCUGUAGUUACUGAAAUUCAUCAACAUGGCUGCAUCUGUUGGAAUUCAUUUCAUUUUGUGAGGCGAUGGUGCUUGUGUCUGAAGGGGAAGUAGAAUCUUCCACGGUUCCACCCAAGCUGGUCCAAAUUCUUUUGUGGAUCAAAGGGCUAGCUAAUGAGGUGGAAUUGCUGAUCUUUAGCUAUUGCAAGGUUGAAAUGGCAUAGAGCUACAGAGUCAAAGCUGGUUGAAAUAAGGGAGCAAAAGGAGCAGCGAUCGAGGGCGUUCAACUAAUGCAGGUGCCUUAUCUUACACCUGCAGAAGUGGGAGAGGAAGAUGUGUUGCAUGCUGAUGGACAGGAAGAAAGGAAGGUUUUUGAUCUCCUGGAAACGGUAGAGCUAGAGAAGAAAUGCCUGUCUAUGAAUGAAAAGAAAUUACAGGAAGGGGACAAGGAAAUUUCGCAGGCUCUACCUCCUUGACAAGCGCACAAAGAGAGCGGAAGAGUAGCAUCGUGCUGCUGCAGCUCAAGCUCCAGAUAGUAGAUGGGCACAACUAAUUAAGCGGGCUACUUUUACUCGAGAUUUUUUAGAAAGAAGAAUUCACAGGCACUUGAACACAAACACCAUUAUCUUCCAGCAAGUCUGUGUGGGUGGAAACCUAUCUAGUGUAAGGGAAAGGAUGGCAGAACAAGUUUACCAACCUGGUCAUGGUACUUUUUCAACCUUGAUAAACGAAAAAUGGAGCUUCAAAACGCUGAUUUUUUUUUGAAAAUAGCUUUAAAUAUUGUCAUCGUUAUUUAUUUAUCCGCUUAGUGCAAAAUUGGGA